AUUGAACGCUGGCGGCAGGCUUAACACAUGCAAGUCGAGCGGAGAUGAGGUGCUUGCACCUUAUCUUAGCGGCGGACGGGUGAGUAAUGCUUAGGAAUCUGCCUAUUAGUGGGGGACAACAUUCCGAAAGGAAUGCUAAUACCGCAUACGCCCUACGGGGGAAAGCAGGGGAUCUUCGGACCUUGCGCUAAUAGAUGAGCCUAAGUCGGAUUAGCUAGUUGGUGGGGUAAAGGCCUACCAAGGCGACGAUCUGUAGCGGGUCUGAGAGGAUGAACCGCCACAAUGGGACUGAGACACGGCCCAGACUCCUACGAGAGGCAGCAGUGGUGAAUAUUGGACAAUGGGCGCAAGCCUGAUCUAGCCAUGGCGCGUGUGUGAAGAAGGCCUUUUGGUUGUAAAGCACUUUAAGCGAGGAGGAGGCUACCUGGAUUAAUACUCUAGGAUAGUGGACGUUACUCGCAGAAUAAGCACCGGCUAACUCUGUGCCAGCAGCCGCGGUAAUAC
rnacentral:rRNA from 1 species